rnacentral:lncRNA from 1 species
GGAUGAUUCACAGCGAUGACGCAGGUUUGGGGUGCCCUGGAACUCCUCCCCCAGAUCUCCUUCAAACCCCAGGUUCUGGAAUGGCUGGGGAACUUGACGGAGCUCCCUGUUCAUCGGAAAUCUUCAUUUUUGUAAUGGCAAAUGGGAGUGGAGAAAAGCGGGUGGAAGCCCAGCCCGGAGCCCUGGGGUCCUGAUCCGUGCCUCUGCCAGUGCCAUGCUGAGCCAGCUUGCUUCUUGGUUAAGGGGGUUGGACCACGGGACAGAGGGCAGGGAAGGGCCCAAGUCCCAUCCAGCCCUUACCCUGCACCCUUCAAAGGCCCCUUCCAUUCUCAGAGCCCCUGUAAUUCGCUCUCAUUAAGGCGGCUUUGUUCUGAGAUGGGGGGCCUUGGCCAUCCCUCAGGCGCUCACUGCAGGCCUGGUCAUGCCCCUGCAGCUGGGCGCUCUCCUUCCUGCCCUGGGAGGGGAUGGCAGGAGCAAAGGCUGCAGCUUUGCUACCUUCCCACGCUACCCUCCCUACAGGAGAGCCUGCUGGGGCGGAAGUGGUGAGUCUGUUAGUCAGAAGAAGGGCCCUGGCCUGAGCGCCAGAUCGCUGGGUUGGGAGCAGGACUAGGCUAGGCCCUAACCGCUGUGUGUGUGACCUUGGGCAAGACCUUCACCUCUCAGAGCCAACAAGUCUCCUUUUGCAAACAAGAUGUGCUCUGGCUCUCAGCCUGGUACCAGAGUCAGUGUUGGAUUCCAGAAGAUAGAAGAAUUUUCCUUUGGUUCACCUGGGCCCAGUAUGAGACACCGCGUCCAGCACAGGGCCCGCGGCUUCUUUCACCUGCAUGCAGGCCUCCUCCCCUGCUUGGCGGCUCGGCCUGCGCCAUCUUGUCCCAGCCUCCUUUCACCUUCCCAGUCGCAUUUGCUCCCAGCACACCACUGUGACACGGCUGUACCACUGGCUGGCGGCAGGUCUCAGCUUCCCCACACCCUAUCUCGUUCAAGGGGAUGAUACCCAUAGAGCAUUCAGCACCACACCAGUCACCCAGGAAGCUCCCAACAACAGCCCGCCAUUCCUGGGGUUAUCAUCGUUGUUAUUAUUUUCAAAACUAAGUCGAAAGAGUGCUGGGUACACAAAUGCCCCAACUCUCCAAACUCCCUGUCUUUACUUAAUUUUCCAUUUUGCCAUUGUCUCCUCCUCUGUCCACUAUCCCCAAAGUAUCUCGUUAUUUAGGAAAAUGGUCCAAGUGUCCAUUUUUUGUUUUGUUUUGUUUUUAUCAAUGAAAAGACAUGGUUUUAUUCCUUCUUUCAACAAUCAUCCAAAUAUUGGUAGAGACGGGCUGGGGAUGUGGCUCAAGCGGUAACAUGCUCGCCUGGCAUGCGCGGGGUGCUGGGUUCGAUCCUCGGCACCACAUAAAAUAAAGAUGUUGUGUCCACCGAAAAACUGAAAAAAAAAAAACACCCAAAUAUUGGUAGAGCUCCAGCUAUGGAGACAAAAGAACCAAGAGGGCUCCUGACUCAGUUGGAAGAGUAGCCAAUAAUCACAAAAGUUAAUACAUAAUUGCAACCCAGAGGUGCUUUCUGGACAGCUCGGGGGAGGGUGGAGAGAGCUCAGAUGUUUCACACUAAGGUCUCCCAUAGGUUUGGUUUGGCUCGUGAGACUGCAAGUGGGGUGUAUUUCACACGAGGACACAAUCCGUGCCACAGUCUCCAUUCCAGGUGUGCUGGUAUGACGUAGGUGUAGAGGAGGGCAGCUGGAGAAGGGGCGUUUUUAGCUAUAGCAGCAGCUGCAGGCAGGACUUGCUAAGUGACUUUGAUGACUCACUUGGCCUCUCUGAGCUGCUUAGUGUAUUUUCUAUUUCCUGACUUUCCCCAGGACGGGCUGAAAAGUCCUCUGGCAUGAGCUGACUGUUCGUUCACAUGUGCCUCGUUUAUUUGGGAAACUUCCUUAUGUGCCUACCUCUACCCCAUGGUGGGGGAAUGGCGAACUCUCGAGGAACUGUCAGGAUUUUAUAAGCGCUUCCUGAGUUUCAGGCAUUUUACUCAUUUUAUUACCACAAGAGUCUUGUGAGGACACUUACUCCUAUCUGCAUUUUAUAGGCAAGAAAAUAAGAGACACAAAGUGGUUCAAUGACUUGCCCAAAGCUCCUAAGAGUUUGGCUUUACUACUAUACCAGGCCUUCUCAUGGACUGGUCUGGGGACCCCCGGGGACCCCAGAACCCAUGUGGAUGGUCCACAAGUUCAAAAUAAUUUUUAGGAUAAAACUAAGACCAUGUUUGUUUUUCUGCUGCCCUUUUCUCAGGAGUGCUCUGAGAUUUCCAAAGGCCACGCGCUCAUGGUACCACACCCUGCAACUAGGAGAAUCUGGGGGUCUGGUGAAGAGAUUUGCAAAAAUGCAAAACAGGACCACUCUCCUCAUUGUUUUUUUGCUUAAAAAUAUUUUUCAUAAAAUUUGAUGUGAACAUGUGAUGAGCUUAUUGGAAUUUUUUAGAAUAAAUAACUCCAUACAUAUUUAAA